AAGAUGAUCACGUGUAAAUGUAGAAAAUGUAAAUAAACAAUUGCGACGUGCUGAUUGUGCAACAAGUCUUUACCCAAAAACAUAGGACGACAUUUAGUAACAAUUCUAAAGUGAUCAAUCCAAUGUUACUCAAGGCUCUAACUUGAAACUGACUAUAUAUUUGCAGGACCAAGUCAAUCAAUACACUCUAAAAAUAGUAAGUGUGUACACAAAUUUGAAAGUAAACCAAAAUGACCUUCUAGUUGACAAGUAGGAUUUUGGAUAAUUCUAACAUUAGAAAAGGAUUAAUAUGGAUUAAAUAAGAUGCAUUAAUAACAUUUGAAUAAGUACCAAUGGACCAACUGAAAGCAAUUUUUUUAGCUGUCAUGUUCUGCAUGUGCUGUUUAAGUUUUGCUGAUGAUAUCGACAAAUGCCAUCCAAAUCCAUGUUUGCACGGUGCUGAAUGCAAGGAUGCUAUUGACGAUUACAAGUGUAUCUGUAAAUCAGGUUACAAAGGACAGAACUGUGAAAUAGAAACUAUGGAACAGCGUAAACGCUUAAUUAGGAAAGCGGUCGAAGAAAAAGUGUAUGGCAUAACUGCAAUAAUAGUAGGCACCAUCGAGUGUGGAGUUAUUACUAUAUAUUGUUUUUGGAAUAAUAGACGAUAAAAACUAAACUCAAAAAAAGUUGUGAUAAUGGAAGUUUAUGUGCAUAACCGUUUCAUAUGUUUUUUUUUAUUAUCCUAUUUCUUAACAGCACAACGUUGUUAUGACAUAAAUGUUAUGAUAAUAAUUUAUAAUGGAUUGUGAUAUAUAUAUUUGCUGAACUAUGAAGUAAUUGUAUGUUAAGGCUUUCUAAACUGUUGCGCUUGAUCUUGCUGUUGAUGACGAUCACAUAAGGAAUUUCGCCUACUAACAAUGACCACGUAUCUCUAUAACACAAAGCUUUCGCAGAGAUGAUGUUGUUUUGUCGACGAUACUUGAAAUUCAAAGAGACUAAAAUGAAAAAUAAUUCUAUGCAUUUCAAAAAAGUUUUGGUAACCAUGAUGGUCAGCACAAAAACGCUCAACACAUGUAUAUCAGGAUGAAUCAAGACGAACUAACAACAUGAUCAAAGAUUCAAAACGACGAUCGAAAUGGUUCGAUGAAUUAAAAAUAUGUGGAACGGUUUUGAAGUCAGAAUGUUUGUUAAUAGCGAUCUAUUCGCACUUAACCAUGACGUUUAAACUGGACGGACAUUGCUUGAAACAUUUUAUUUGACUAACUCCUUUCGAAAUGUCAAUAUUCUUUUUCUCAUUUUCUCAUUUACGUAACGUUUAAUUCCACAUCAAGGUUUAAUCACUGUUGCAUUUCUGUACAUAACAACAAAAUUAUUUUCAUUUAUCUGUGUAUAAUAUGACGCAGGUUUCUUCAAAAGUGAUGAUUUUCUAUAAAUUGUUUGAAAUUUCACAGUGAUAUCAUACUUUAACUUUGUUUAAACCGGUUUAUUUACUUUUGACUUUAAUUAUUUAUCCCUUGUAAUUUUUUUUUAACUGUGUAUUUGCAUUCAGGUGUCACAGGUCAAAUUUAUUCGUUCAUUGUGUGUUAAUUUACGUUUUUUGAUUGAGUUAAGCCUUCCAAUUGAUAUUUAAUAGUGUGUUUUUCUUUGUUGUGAUGUUAUACUAUUGUUUCAGAAAAGGGAGAAGGUUUGGUACCAUUAAAACGUUUAAUCCCGCUGCAAAUGUUUGCACCUGUCCUAAGUCAGGAAUCUGAUUACAGUAGUUGUCGUCUGUUUAUGUAGUUUAUAUGUGUUUCUUGUUUCUCGUUUUUAUAUAGAUUAGAACGUCGGUUUUUCCGUUUGAAUGGUUUUGCAUUAGUAAUUGUUUUGGGGCCCUUUAUAGCUUGCUGUUCGGUGUGAACCAAUGCUCCGUGUUGAAGGCCGUACCUUGACCUAUAAUGGUUUACUUUUAUAAAUUGUAACUUGGAUGGAGAGUUGUCUCAUUGGCACUCAUACCACAUCUUCCUAUAUCUAUAUCACCACAUUCAUUCGUUGCUUAAGCAUAUUAUAUUUUGAUAAAACAUUGUCAUGUUCUUCAAAACAAUAAUUGUAAAUGUCACAAGGCAUAUUCGUAUUUCCAAGUAUAUAAAGGGCAUAUCAUCAAUAGAGUAAACAUUUGUCAAAAUAAUUCUUUCGAAUUAAUUAAGUGUCUAUCAUUUACCUGGCGACAGUUUAAACGGUUUUAUUGUAUGCAGUUACUUAAAUUUUAAUCGUAAAGUAAGUUGUUUUCAUAUUUCCUUAACAGGGUUGGCCUUUCUGAGAAAUCGAACAAGAAGAACUGCAGGAAUUCAAUAAUGUGUCCAACAAAUACGAAGAGUUCCGUAAAUAAUAUGUUAACAGAAUAUUUAUAAUUAAUUCGUGUUUCGUGUCAUUUCAGAUAUUUACAAAUAAUUCAAAUGUUGUAUGAAUAUUGUCCAUCCAAAUUGUUUAAAAGACCAGAUUUCGUUCAAUUCAUUAAAUGAACCUUUUGGGAGUUUUA